AUUGAACGCUGGCGGCAGGCUUAACACAUGCAAGUCGAACGAGUGGCGGACGGGUGAGUAACGCAUCGGAACGUACCGAGUAAUGGGGGAUAACUGUCCGAAAGGACAGCUAAUACCGCAUAUUAUUCGAGCGGCCGCUGGCUGAUUAGCUGUUUGGCGGGGUAAAGGCCCACCAAGGCCACGAUCCGGAACUGGUCUGAGAGGAUGAUCAGGCAAACUGGAACUGAGACACGGUCCAGACUCCUACGGGAGGCAGCAGUGGGGAAUAUUGGACAAUGGGCGAAAGCCUGAUGCAGCCAUGCCGCGUGUGUGAAGAAGGUCUUCGGAUUGUAAAGCACUUUAAGUGGGGAGGCGUUACCAACAGAAUAAGCACCGGCUAACUUCGUGCCAGCAGCCGCGGUAAUUC
rnacentral:rRNA from 1 species